UAGAGUAAAUAUUGUGCGUCAAGUGCCAUGGGAUGGGAUGUUGCCUGUGGACGAAAAGCAAUCCGGCUUACGAUACAAUAUUGCGUCCGCUA
rnacentral:ncRNA from 1 species